ensembl:rRNA 5S_rRNA 5S ribosomal RNA
UUCCACAGCCAUAUCACCCUGCAGCACAAGAAUGGUUGCACACUGAAGCUAAGCUGUGCUGAGCCUGGUCAGUACCUGGAUGGGAGACCACAUGGGAAAAUUACAGUAGGUUGCUGUUGGAA